GCCGUCAGGGGGGCGGCGGCGGCGGCGCUGAGGGAGCUGAGGGAGGAGCUGCAGGUACUGGCUUAUACUGGUUUAUACUGGUUUAUACUGGGAGGGGUUUGGAUGAUUUUUUUAGGGAAUUUUUAGGGAAUUUUUUUAGGAAUUUUUGGGGAAUUUUUGUGGAAUUUUGGGGGAAUUUUUGAGAAAUUUUUAGGGAAUUUUUAAGGAAAUUUUAGGGAAUUUUUGAGGAAUUUUUAAGGGAUUUGGAGGGAAUUUUUGGGGAAUUUUUAGGGAAUUAUUUGAGGAAUUUUUGAGAGAAUUUUUGGGAAUUUUUGAGGAAUUUUUAGGGAAUUUUUGAGGGAAUUUCGAGGGAAUUUUAAUGAAUUUUUUAGGGAGCUUUAGAGAAAUUUUUGAGGAAUUUUUUGGGAAUUUUUGAGGAGUUUUUGAGGAAUUUUUAAAGGAAUUUUUAAAGAAUUUUUGGGGAAUUUUUAAGGGGUUUUGAGGGAAUUUUUUUGGGAAUUUUUGAGGAAUUUUUGAGAAAAUUUUUGGGAAUUUUUAGGGAAUUUUUGGGGAAUUUUUGAGGAAAUUUCUGGGAAUUUUUGUGGAAUUUUGGGGGAAUUUUAAGGGAAUUUUUUGGGAAUUUUUGAGGAAUUUUUGGGUGAAAUUUUGGGAAUUUUGGGGUGAAUUUUUGGGAAUUUUUGGGUGAAAUUUUGGGAAUUUUGGGGUGAAAUUUUGGGAAUUUUGGGGUGAAAUUUUGGGAAUUUUUGGGUGAAAUUUUGGGAAUUUUUUGGGGUGAAAUUUUGGGAAUUUUGGGGUGAAAUUUUGGGAAUUUUGGGUGAAAUUUGGGGAAUUUUUGGGUGAAAUUUUGGGAAUUUUGGGGUGAAAUUUUGGGAAUUUUUGGGUGAAAUUUUGGGAAUUUUGGGGUGAAAUUUUGGGAAUUUUGGGGGGAAUUUUUGGGAAUUUUUGGGUGAAAUUUUGGGAAUUUUUGGGGUGGAAUUUUGGGAAUUUUGGGGUGAAAUUUUUUGGAAUUUUUCGGGAUCAGCCCGAGGUGGCUCCGCUGGCGGCCGAGGCCCUCCCGAGGAUUUUGGGGGAAUUUUGGGGCUCCCGGAAUUCCGGGAAUUCCCCAAAUCCCGACCCCAGGUCCUGGUUCGUGCUGGAGACGCUGCUGGAGGCGCUGGAGGUGCUGGCGGCGCUGGGCCCGGCCGUGGUGGGGGAGGGGCUGCUGGAGGCUCUGGAGCGGGGGCUGGGCCUGGCCCCGGGGGAUCCCGAGGCCACCAGGGUGAGGUGAGUGAGGCAAUUCCCCCAAAAUUCCCAAAAAUUCCCCCAAAAUUCCCAGAAUUCCCUGAAAUUCCCCAAAAUUCCCCAAAUUCCCAGAAUUCCCCAAAUUCCCAAAAAAAAUUCCCCAAAAAAAUUCCCAAAAAAAACCCCAAAAAUCCCAAAAAUUCCCCCAAAAUCCCCCCAAAUUCCCCCAAAUUCCCAGAAUUCCCCAGAAUUCCCCAGAAUUCCCAAAAUUCCCAAAAUUCCCCAAAAUUCCCCAGAAUUCCCAGAAUUCCCCAAAAAAAGCCCCAAAAAACUCCAAAAAUUCCGCCAAAAAUUCCCAAAAAUUCCCCAAAAUUCCCAAAAAUUCCCCAAAACUCCCCAAAGAAAUUCCCCAAAAAAAUUCCCCCCAAAAAUUCCCAAAAAUUCCCCAAGAAUUCCAAAAAAUUCCCACAAAAUAUUCCCAAAAACCCCCGAAAUUCCCCCCAAAAAACUCCAAAAAACCCCAAAAAUUCCCCCAAAAAUUCCCAAAAAAAUCCCUGAAAAUUCCCCCAAAAAAUCCCAAAAUUGAAAAAAAACCCCAAAAAUUCCCCAAAAAAAAUUCCCAAAAAAACCCCAAAAAACCCCAAAAAAUUCCCAGAAAAUUCCCCUAAAAAUCCCAAAAAACCCAAAAAAAUUUCCAGAAAAUUCACAAAAAAUCCAAAAAAUUCCCCCAAAAUUCCCCAAAAAAAUCCCUGAAAAUUCCCUCCAAAAAAUUCCCAAAACCCCCCGAAAUUCCCCCAAAAAACCCCCAAAAAUCCCAAAAAUUCCCUCGAAAAUUCCCAAAAAUUCCCCAGAAAAUUUCCCAAAAAAAUUCCCCCCCAAAAAUUCCCCCAAAAAUCCCCAAAAAU
rnacentral:lncRNA from 1 species